rnacentral:rRNA from 1 species
GGCGAACGCUGGCGGCGUGCUUAACACAUGCAAGUCGAACGAGGUUAUGGAGGAGCUUGCUCCGAAGUAACCGAGUGGCGGACGGGUGAGCAACGCGUGAGGAACCUGUCUCACACAGGGGGAUAACGCACCGAAAGGUGUGCUAAUACCGCAUAAGACCACGGUACCGUAUGGUACAGGGGUCAAAGGAGCAAUCCGGUGUGAGGUGGCCUCGCGUCUGAUUAGGUAGUUGGUGAGGUAACGGCCCACCAAGCCGACGAUCAGUAGCCGACCUGAGAGGGUGAUCGGCCACAUUGGAACUGAGACACGGUCCAA